CUACACUAUAUUUACAGUAUAACCGAAUUUGUACGUUAAUAAAAUAUAAACACAAUACGCUGUUCUAAAAUAAUUGUCAAAAUAGAGAUCAUGUUUUAAUGUUUAAUAUUUACGCGCUCUUAUAUUGGAAUUGGAGUCGAUACAAAAAGUUACAAAUUUCUAGUUAAAUACUCUUUCAGGCAAAUGGCACACCUUUUAGAAAUUAAAUUCCCCUGUCCUGUUCCUCUGCUGGUUAGUUAAAAUAUUCCCCCUUAUGUUAUUUCACCAGGAAACAUUUUUUUAAAAUACAUUUUCAUCUAAUUUUGCUAUCAGGUCAUCUGUUGACAGCGAAUGUCAGAAUGACAUUUUCACGAAUUUCAACUGCCAAAACAAAGUUCUUGAUCGAGCUCUACAAAAAUCACGUGCGCAUGCGCAGAUUCAUUUUCUCCUUUCUGGGACGUAAACAGGAAGGUCAGCAAGACUGGAAGACAAAAGAAGCCAUUAAGAAAAUGAAAAUGAGAUACUUUACCAUCAUAUCUGUAGCAGUGUUCUUAACUUCAGAAACUGUCCAAGCAGCAAGUAUCACUCCGUCUUGCUUGAAAUACCAUAAGAAUAAAGAAUGUCAUCGGGUUUAUAAACCUGUUUGUGGAGAUGAUGAGACCACCUACUCCAAUGAAUGCAUGCUGUGUCUGUUAAAUGGAGAAAGAGUGAGAAUUGUCAAGGAAGGAGCUUGCUAAAACAACCUGAAAGAUGUUCUGCGGCAGUGUCCUGAGAAAAGUUUAUAUAUUACAAGACCUCUAUUAAUCAGAAAUGCAAUAGGAUACAGGUUGUAGUUACCAGUUCACUGUCAAUGUUAUAGUCUUAAUAUAUUGCAUUGUUAAUAUAAUUAUUUAUGAUAUAGGCUUCCGUUUUAUUAACAAACCGACCUGUAUUUGUUUUGAAUAAAACCUGUUUAAAAGGGAAAUGCUAUACAGAAGUUGUAGUGUACUCUGUUUACAGUUUUACUUGGAAGUUAAUUAAUUGAAUUCAAUAAAAGAGAAACCCCAGUAAAGAGACAUUCAGAGUCAUUGACGCACCCAGUGGUCCCUACUUGACCAUCUCAGACUUACAGACUGGUCUACAUCCUAUACAUAUACUAAUGCAAAAUAUGUUUACCCUACUUCAGUUAACUGGGGACCAGUGUGCUCUCAUCCUUCCAACCUGCUAUGUUUUGUAACCUGCAUCAAUUUUGCCCUUAUAAAAGUUUCCCAUAGCAAAAGCAUAGCAAAGUUUAAUAAUGCACAGUGAAAGCACGGUGAAGAAUCGGUAAGCAUUCUAAAGAACAGUGGGGUAUAAUAAAGCAUAUUAAUAAACAUGGAAAAUCAGGGUGGUAAAUGUAUAGCAUAACCAUGGGAAAACUGCAAAAAUAACAUGCAAAAACAGCAAAAAAAACUUUAUAAGGGUGGCUUCCUCAUAUCUGUAUCAUUUGCACCAUUUCACAAAUAUAAAAGUAGAAUAUAAAUGCCAUGAUAACUGAUUUACAAUAUGCUCACCUAACAUUUUGCAGUAUUUACUUGCAUUUUUCUUGAUUUAUGAAAGGAUUUGUCAGCAAACAUAACAAAUCUGUUGGUGUAAAGUACAUUUGUUUAUAAUUCUGUAUACAAAACCUUGCACUGGAAACCAAAUAUAACGCAGCAUAUUUAGAAUUUAUAUACUAAACACUUUAUGCUUAUUUGGGUAAAUAAUUUUUUUUGUCUUCAAAUUAUUAUUGUUUUUAACGCAUUUAGGUUUAAUUCUUAAACAGUCAUACUGUGUGCAAACAGAUUUUACAGCCACAUCCACCCACUUAUUUAGUUUGGCAAUACUGUACUUGUUUCAGAAGUGCUAGACACAAAUAGCAGAGCGAACUAUCAAAAUGAAUCCAAGUUUUGUCCUUGUUUUUCUGAUCUUCAUUUGUUUCUCUGACUCAGAAGCAAAACCUUACAGAACUCCUGCCUGUUACAAAUACCCACUCGAGGGAUGCCCUUUCAUUUUCUCACCAGUUUGUGGCACAGAUGGCAACAGCUAUGCAAAUGAAUGUGUUCUGUGCCACACAAUAAGAAAAACCAAGAUGAUGAUCCAGAUUGUCAAAACCAGACAGUGCUGAGCAAGUUUCCCUUCAACCCAGUUAUGCUUCUCAUCUUACUGAUGUGCACAAACAAGAUUGCUGGACAGACACUAGAGGAAAUUUUUACUUCUCAAUAAUACAACUGUUUUAUUUCCUGUUUUGACAAUGUAAUGUGAGAGCUUUUCUUUGUAUUUAGCAGUCAGGUACCACAUUCUUGAUUUUGAGAUAAAAGGCCAUCUUUUUAGGGUUGUUUUAAGGAAUUGUUGUUUUGAAGUAAUGCACUUAAACAGUUUCUUAAGUUAAACAGUUCUUUGAAAAAUGAGAAUGAACUUCUAAACCUGUCUAAAAAAGUUAGGAUGUUUCUUUAACUGUUAACUUGAUUUAAUUAAUUAAAAAUA